GAAAAUUUAGUUAAAUUAUAACAUUAGUUUGUCAUACUAAAAUUAUUUAAUUAAAUAAUUAAUUUUUA
rnacentral:tRNA from 1 species